UACGUAGGGUGCGAGCGUUUGUCCGGAAUUAUUGGGCGUAAAGAGCUCGUAGGCGGUGUGUCACGUCGGCCGUGAAAACCUGCAGCUUAACUGUGGGCGUGCGGUCGAUACGGGCAUCACUGGAGUUCGGCAGGGGAGACUGGAAUUCCUGGUGUAGCGGUGAAAUGCGUAGAUAUCUGGAGGAACACCGGUGGCGAAGGCGGCAUCCUGGACCAACACUGACGCUGAUGAGCGAAAGCCAGGGGAGCAAACGGG
rnacentral:rRNA from 1 species